ACUAAGCGUACACGGUGGAUGCCCUGGCAGUCAGAGGCGAUGAAGGACGUGCUAAUCUGCGAAAAGCGUCGGUAAGGUGAUAUGAACCGUUACAGCCGGCGAUGUCCGAAUGGGGAAACCCAGUGCAAUUCGUUGCACUAUCGUUAACUGAAUACAUAGGUUAACGAGGCGAACCGGGGGAACUGAAACAUCUAAGUACCCCGAGGAAAAGAAAUCAACCGAGAUUCCCCCAGUAGCGGCGAGCGAACGGGGAGCAGCCCAGAGUCUGAAUCAGCUUGUGUGUUAGUGGAACGGUCUGGAAAGUCCGACGGUACAGGGUGAUAGUCCCGUACACCAAAAUGCACAGGUUGUGAACUCGAAGAGUAGGGCGGGACACGUGGUAUCCUGUCUGAAUAUGGGGGGACCAUCCUCCAAGGCUAAAUACUCCUGACUGACCGAUAGUGAACCAGUACCGUGAGGGAAAGGCGAAAAGAACCCCGGCGAGGGGAGUGAAAAAGAACCUGAAACCGUGUACGUACAAGCAGUGGGAGCACCUUCGGGUGUGACUGCGUACCUUUUGUAUAAUGGGUCAGCGACUUAUAUUCUGUAGCAAGGUUAACCGUAUAGGGGAGCCGCAGGGAAACCGAGUCUUAACUGGGCGUUAAGUUGCAGGGUAUAGACCCGAAACCCGGUGAUCUAGCCAUGGGCAGGUUGAAGGUUGGGUAACACUAACUGGAGGACCGAACCGACUAAUGUUGAAAAAUUAGCGGAUGACUUGUGGCUGGGGGUGAAAGGCCAAUCAAACCGGGAGAUAGCUGGUUCUCCCCGAAAGCUAUUUAGGUAGCGCCUCGUGAACUCAUCUUCGGGGGUAGAGCACUGUUUCGGCUAGGGGGUCAUCCCGACUUACCAACCCGAUGCAAACUACGAAUACCGAAGAAUGUUAUCACGGGAGACACACGGCGGGUGCUAACGUCCGUCGUGAAGAGGGAAACAACCCAGACCGCCAGCUAAGGUCCCAAAGUCAUGGUUAAGUGGGAAACGAUGUGGGAAGGCACAGACAGCCAGGAUGUUGGCUUAGAAGCAGCCAUCAUUUAAAGAAAGCGUAAUAGCUCACUGGUCGAGUCGGCCUGCGCGGAAGAUGUAACGGGGCUAAACCAUGCACCGAAGCUGCGGCAGCGACACUAUGUGUUGUUGGGUAGGGGAGCGUUCUGUAAGCCUGCGAAGGUGUGCUGUGAGGCAUGCUGGAGGUAUCAGAAGUGCGAAUGCUGACAUAAGUAACGAUAAAGCGGGUGAAAAGCCCGCUCGCCGGAAGACCAAGGGUUCCUGUCCAACGUUAAUCGGGGCAGGGUGAGUCGACCCCUAAGGCGAGGCCGAAAGGCGUAGUCGAUGGGAAACAGGUUAAUAUUCCUGUACUUGGUGUUACUGCGAAGGGGGGACGGAGAAGGCUAUGUUAGCCGGGCGACGGUUGUCCCGGUUUAAGCAUGUAGGCUGGUUAUCCAGGCAAAUCCGGAUAAUCAAGGCUGAGGUGUGAUGACGAGGCACUACGGUGCUGAAGUAACAAAUGCCCUGCUUCCAGGAAAAGCCUCUAAGCAUCAGGUAACAUCAAAUCGUACCCCAAACCGACACAGGUGGUCAGGUAGAGAAUACCAAGGCGCUUGAGAGAACUCGGGUGAAGGAACUAGGCAAAAUGGUGCCGUAACUUCGGGAGAAGGCACGCUGGUGUGUAGGUGAAGUCCCUGCGGAUGGAGCUGAGACCAGUCGAAGAUACCAGCUGGCUGCAACUGUUUAUUAAAAACACAGCACUGUGCAAACACGAAAGUGGACGUAUACGGUGUGACGCCUGCCCGGUGCCGGAAGGUUAAUUGAUGGGGUUAUCCGUAAGGAGAAGCUCUUGAUCGAAGCCCCGGUAAACGGCGGCCGUAACUAUAACGGUCCUAAGGUAGCGAAAUUCCUUGUCGGGUAAGUUCCGACCUGCACGAAUGGCGUAAUGAUGGCCAGGCUGUCUCCACCCGAGACUCAGUGAAAUUGAACUCGCUGUGAAGAUGCAGUGUACCCGCGGCAAGACGGAAAGACCCCGUGAACCUUUACUAUAGCUUGACACUGAACAUUGAGCCUUGAUGUGUAGGAUAGGUGGGAGGCUUUGAAGCGUGGACGCCAGUCUGCGUGGAGCCAACCUUGAAAUACCACCCUUUAAUGUUUGAUGUUCUAACGUUGGCCCCUGACCGGGGUUGCGGACAGUGUCUGGUGGGUAGUUUGACUGGGGCGGUCUCCUCCCAAAGCGUAACGGAGGAGCACGAAGGUUAGCUAAUCCUGGUCGGACAUCAGGAGGUUAGUGCAAUGGCAUAAGCUAGCUUGACUGCGAGCGUGACGGCGCGAGCAGGUGCGAAAGCAGGUCAUAGUGAUCCGGUGGUUCUGAAUGGAAGGGCCAUCGCUCAACGGAUAAAAGGUACUCCGGGGAUAACAGGCUGAUACCGCCCAAGAGUUCAUAUCGACGGCGGUGUUUGGCACCUCGAUGUCGGCUCAUCACAUCCUGGGGCUGAAGUAGGUCCCAAGGGUAUGGCUGUUCGCCAUUUAAAGUGGUACGCGAGCUGGGUUUAGAACGUCGUGAGACAGUUCGGUCCCUAUCUGCCGUGGGCGCUGGAGAAUUGAGGGGGGCUGCUCCUAGUACGAGAGGACCGGAGUGGACGCAUCACUGGUGUUCGGGUUGUCAUGCCAAUGGCACUGCCCGGUAGCUAAAUGCGGAAGAGAUAAGUGCUGAAAGCAUCUAAGCACGAAACUUGCCCCGAGAUGAGUUCUCCCUGAGACUUUAAGUCUCCUGAAGGAACGUUGAAGACGACGACGUUGAUAGGCCGGGUGUGUAAGCGCAGCGAUGCGUUGAGCUAACCGGUACUAAUGAACCGUGAGGCUUAACC
rnacentral:rRNA from 1 species